AUGCAUGUUGGUACGAUUAUGGAGUCGAAUGAUGCAACUUUCUUUGAGGACAUAUUUCCUAUGAAGGAUAUGUCGAGUUCAUCAAAUCAGGAGACACCUACUCCAUCUAGUGAGGAGUUCACUGCAAUUCCUAAACCCAUCAUUGCGAUGGAAUACGUUGAGAAUCCUGUUGAGGGUGACAAUGGAACUCCUGUGAGGAGUAAGAGACAUAGGGCUACAAAGUCCUUUGGUGAUUAUUUCAUUAUGUACCUCGUGGAUGACACACCCAGGACUAUUUCAGAAGCCUGUGCAUCUCUUGAUGCUGACUACUGGAAGGAAGCUGUACGUAGCGAGAUGGAUUCCAUCUUAGGUAACGGAACCUGGGAGAUCACUGACCGUCCUUAUGGGUGA
rnacentral:rRNA from 1 species